UUAGCUCAACUUUGUAUGGAGUUGGAACGCUAACCUACGUUUUCCGCUAGGGGCGCUGUUCCAACUGCAUACAAAUUUGAGCUA
rfam:Bombyx mori DNA, contig: Bm_scaf34_contig20813, strain: p50T/Dazao, build 2, whole genome shotgun sequence.